GACGUAGGAGACGAGCGUUGUCCGGAAUUACUGGGCGUAAAGGGCGCGUAGGCGGCCUUCUAAGUCGAACGUGAAAUCCCUGGGCUCAACCCAGGAACUGCGUCCGAUACUGGAAGGCUUGAAUCCGGGAGAGGGAUGCGGAAUUCCAGGUGUAGCGGUGAAAUGCGUAGAUAUCUGGAGGAACACCGGUGGCGAAGGCGGCAUCCUGGACCGGUAUUGACGCUGAGGCGCGAAAGCCAGGGGAGCAAACGGG
rnacentral:rRNA from 1 species